AGUGAACGCUGGCGGUAGGCCUAACACAUGCAAGUCGAACGGCAGCACAGUAAGAGCUUGCUCUUACGGGUGGCGAGUGGCGGACGGGUGAGGAAUACAUCGGAAUCUACUUUUUCGUGGGGGAUAACGUAGGGAAACUUACGCUAAUACCGCAUACGACCUACGGGUGAAAGCAGGGGAUCUUCGGACCUUGCGCGAUUGAAUGAGCCGAUGUCGGAUUAGCUAGUUGGCGGGGUAAAGGCCCACCAAGGCGACGAUCCGUAGCUGGUCUGAGAGGAUGGUCGGCCACACUGGAACUGAGCCACGGUCCAGACUCCUACGGGAGGCAGCAGUGGGGAAUAUUGGACAAUGGGGGCAAGCCUGAUCCAGCCGUACCGCGUGGGUGAAGAAGGCCUUCGGGUUGUAAAGCCCUUUUGUUGGGAAAGAAAAGCAGCAGGUUAAUACCCCGCUGUUCUGACGGUACCCAAAGAAUAAGCACCGGCUAACUUCGUG
rnacentral:rRNA from 1 species